CCUACGGGUGGCUGCAGUGGGGAAUAUUGGGCAAUGGGCGAAAGCCUGACCCAGCAACGCCGCGUGAAGGAAGAAGGCUUUCGGGUUGUAAACUUCUUUUGACAGGGAAGAGCAGAAGACGGUACCUGUCGAAUAAGCCACGGCUAACUACGUGACAGAAGCCCCGGUAAUACGUAGGUGGCAGGCGUUAUCCGGAUUAAGUGGGGGUAAAGGGAGCGUAGAAGGUUAAUUAAGUCAGAAGUGAAAACCCAGGGCUCAACCUUGGGACUGCUUUGGAAACUGGGUAGCUAGAGUGCAGGAGAGGGAAGCGGAAUUCCUAGUGUAGCGGUGAAAUGCGUAGAUAUGAGGAGGAACACCAGUGGCGAAGGCGGCUUACUGGACUGUAACUGACGUUGAGGCUCGAAAGCGUGGGGAGCAAACAGGAUUAGAUACCCCAGUAGUC
rnacentral:rRNA from 1 species